CCCACAAGAUGAUGGAGCUGCUGACUGGAGAGGUUCCUGUAAGGUGUCAGGAUGUGGCAGUCUAUUUCUCCAUGGAGCAGUGGGAGUAUGUAGAAGGACACAAGGAUCUGUACAAGGAGGCCAUGAUGGGGGCUCCCCGGCCUCUGACUUCACCAGAUGGAUCCAGGAGGAUAAAUCCACCCGAGAGAUGUCCCCGUCCUCUGUAUUCCCAGGACU